GCCUAGUUAGCUUAGUUGGUAAUACGUCUGCCUUGUAAGCGCUAGGCCGCGGGUUCGAUUCCCGCCCGGGGCG
rfam:Asian citrus Psyllid, Diaphorina citri - Florida Strain, whole genome shotgun sequence.